AAUUCGGCCCUAGAAGCGACGUGCGGCUCAGAGCCCAGGUGGGACUUGGCUCGGCGGCCAUGGGCAAGCAGAACAGCAAGCUGCGGCCCGAGAUGUUGCAGGACCUGCGAGAGAACACAGAGUUCUCAGAGCUGGAGCUGCAGGAGUGGUACAAGGGCUUCCUCAAGGACUGCCCCACAGGAAUCCUCAAUGUGGAUGAGUUCAAGAAGAUCUACGCCAACUUCUUUCCCUAUGGUGACGCCUCCAAGUUUGCCGAGCACGUCUUCCGCACCUUUGACACCAACAGCGAUGGCACCAUAGACUUUCGGGAGUUCAUCAUUGCGCUGAGCGUGACCUCGCGCGGCCGCCUGGAGCAGAAGCUCAUGUGGGCCUUCAGCAUGUAUGACCUGGACGGCAACGGCUACAUCAGCCGGGAGGAGAUGCUGGAGAUCGUGCAGGCCAUUUACAAGAUGGUUUCGUCCGUGAUGAAGAUGCCGGAGGACGAGUCGACCCCGGAAAAGAGGACUGAGAAAAUCUUCCGCCAAAUGGACACAAACAACGACG
rnacentral:sRNA from 1 species